UUUUAUGAUGAACAAGAGGUUCAACCUCUAUAAUCCCAGCUCUUCGAAACCGCCUCACCCUUACCAACGCUAAGAGGUGUUAUGAGAACACGUCCCAUCUGAAAAU
rnacentral:snoRNA from 1 species